UGAACCGAACGUGAAAG
rnacentral:sRNA from 1 species